CGUGCGAAAAUUGAUUUUUAACCUACUUAGAAAUGUCGCAACUCAUUUUGGAUUAGUGCAUAUUGUUGCUCUUAAUUAGCUUAAUGAUGCGCAACAGAAAAAUUAGAUUCAAAUUUACUUCGCAGCUGCAACUUCGCAUGUGCUUCUAGCGACGACUUCGAUUUGGUGGUGCGACGAUAAUCCUCUCUCCUCUUCUUGGCGUAACGUCCUUACUGAGACAAAGCCUGCUUCUCAGCUUAGUAUUCUAUGAGCACUUCCACAGUUAUUAACUGAGAGCUUCCUCUACCAAUGACCAUUUUGCAUGUGUAUAUCGUGUGGCAGGCACGAAGAUACUCUAUGCCCAAGGAAGUCAAGGAAAUUUCCUUUACGAAAAGAUCCUGGACCGACCGGGAAUCGAACCCGUCACCCUCAGCAUGGUCAUGCUGAAUACCCGUGCGUUUACCGCCUCGGCUAUAUGGGCAUGAGCAUGAGCAUGAUUGACCGCCCGCGGUUGCUCCUCUGUUAUUGCAAGGACAUCUGCAUUUAAACAAAGAACCAACAGAUGAAGCUUGGGACUAGCCUUCUCUCAUUGUGUGCAAGGAUGUCAUUCAGUAUUCCUCUAAAAGCGCUCCUUCAGGAAUAAUAUUUUUAUUAGCUUUAUUAAUGAGGCUUUCAGCCCUUUGGCUGGUUCACCUGAGACAUUCAGGAAUGUUUUCAAAAGUACUUCAGAGUAAUUCAAAAGAUUCUUGCAAAGGCUUCAUCGAGUAAGUCUCGAAAUAUUAGUUCAGGAAUCUAUCAAUUAUGUCUCUGAGGAUUUAUCUAGAAGAUCAUCUAAAGAAUUCUUGAAAAAUUCCAGGAAAAAUACUACAAAAAACCUCCAAUGAUUCAUUCAGAACCAGAUAUUCUUCCAAGAAAUUACAUCGGGAUCCCCUCAGAGGAAGAGAAGCCCUUCUAGAAUUUCUUUACCUUCUUCCGUUUCUUACAGGGAAUCCUCUAAAUAUUCCUUAGGUGAUUUUCGACGAAAGUCAAAUAUUUCUCCAUGUACAGGGGAUAGACAAAAUGAUUGGGACAGGCAAAAUUUUCACUUCUCAAAUUUUUUUCAAAUAGCUGUUCGAAAGGUGAAUCAAACAUUCUCAAAUUUUUACUGUGAGUUGAUCAAAUAAUUGUGUAUUAGUGGUCUAAUUUUGGAAAAGAUCGGGCUAUUCUGCACGAAGUUAUGAAGAUUCUAGAAAAAGGUGUAAUUAUCCGAUAGCCAACUUUGAGCUGUUAUAUCUCCGAAUUCAAAUAACCGAAUGCAAAGAAAUUUCGACCAAUUAUGACUUAUAUAAUGAGCUUUGGAAAACCUUUGACACAACAUAGAACUCUCAACGUGGAAGAGAAUUAUAACGAUUAGAUUAUUUUUCCAAUAAAACACCAAAUUAUCCAAAAUUUCAACAUCGUUUCAAAAUUCAGGAUACUAAUUAUAGUUCAUUUAAACUCCCGCAAAUUGAGUUGAAUAUAAAUAUGUAAUGAAGAAAAGUAACAACAUAGCCGGCAAUAAAUUAGAAAAGUGAUGGGGUGCAUAUUAAAAAUAGACCAAUUUACUAAAAAAUCAUAAUAUAAAUUAAAUCGCUAUAAAUGUUUUGCUUGUUGAAAAAUUCAAAUUGAGUCAAACGUUUUUCAGAGCUCAUUAUAUAAGUCAUAAAUGGUCAAAGUUUCUUUGCAUUUUGUUCAUUGAAUCCAUAGAUAUAACAGCUCAAAGUUGGAUAUCGGAUAAUUAUACCUUUUUCAAGAAUCUUUAUAACUUCGUGCAGAAUAGCCUGAUCUUUUCCAAAAAUGGACCACUAAUACACAACUAUCAUCAUCUUACAGGGAAAAUUUGAGAAUAUUUGAUGCACUUUUCGAAAAGUUACAGCUAUUUGCAAUUUUUUUUUUUGAAAAGUGAUAAUUUUGCCUGUUCCGAUCAUUUUGUCUAUCCCUUGUAUUCUUCAAGCAUUUCUCAGUUAUUCCCUCAAAUAACUUUAUCAGAUAUUUCUACAAUAAUUAAACUUGGAAUUUCCUCAAGCAUUCAUAACUUAUCUUGGCGUCCUUUUUAAGAUUUCUUAAGAAUUAUUUCCUAGGAUUACUUCAGAGAUCCCACCAAAAAUUCCUUUUUCCAAAAGUAUUCUUCAUGAAGUUUCUCUAAGGUUUUACUAAGAGAUUCAUCCUAGAAUUCCUCCUAGAAAUUUCCAAAGAAUCAAUUGGAUAAUAAUAAAACAAAAUCUCCAAGGAUUCCUACAGAAGAAAUUUAAUUAAAUAAAUUAUAUUAAUUAAAUUAAACUUUUAGAAGGACUUCUGUAGGAAUUCUUUCGAAAAAUACUUCUGGACUUUUAAUAUCCAUCAACUCUAAGAGUUUUCUCAAGAGUUCCUUCAGCAAUUUUUGCUAGUAUUCCUAGCACUUUUCAAAAAAACUUCUAUUCCGCUUUUUGAUAAGACUCCUUAAAAAUUCUUCCAAGAAUCCUUUUGAAAAAUAAUUCUAAGUUUCCAUCACGCAUCUCAGUCAGGAAUUUCUCCAGAAUUUAUGAUUGAUUCCUCCAGAAUUAUAACGUUAUUUUUUAUAUAAUCCGUGCUCACUUCUAACAAAUAUACAAAAAUAAGAAGCAGAACAAAAAGCGCUUCACUCCUUUGUUUUGAGUGGUAUGAAAAUGGGAGCGUAUAUAAAUAGUAAAAGAACAGAUGCCCUAUCUUAUCAAAACAAAUAACUUCUCCAGUAAUCUCUCCAAGGAUUCCUCCAAAGACUAUUUUGCCACUUUCUGCAGGAGUUCUUUAAGAAUACAUAGAAGCAUCCUUUAAGUAAUUAAUGCAAGGCUAAGAUUUCAAAGAGGAUAUCCAUCGGAAUUUUUUCAGGAAUCACUUCAAGAAUUCAUACGGUUAUUUUUCCAAGGAUUUCUAAAAUAUUUCUUCAAAAAAAAAGUCUCCUGGAAAUUAUCACAAGAUUCUGUCAGAAAAGGAUCUUGUUAGAAACUCCUGCGAAGGUUUCAUCAAUAUUUUAAAGCAUUCUGCUUAAUUUUUUAAUAACAUCUCCAAAGCUUCUACCAUUACUUUUGGGAUUUUUCCAGGAAUCGAUUUUCUAAGGUUAUUCAACAUUCUAAAGGAAUUCCUUCAAAGAAGCCUGUAGAAAUUGCUCCCAAAUUUCCUUCAGGAAUUUUUCCAGAGAUUUCUUUAGUAGCUCAUCCAAUAAGUUCUCUUGCGAUUUCUCCGAAGAUUACUUCAGAUUUUAUUCAAGUAAGUAUUCUCUUAAAAUUUCUUUAAUUGAUUUCAUUCAUUCAUUCUUAAACUGAUUUUCCCAGGUAUUUAACAAAUAAUUUUGUACAAGAAAUCUUUUGGGAUCCUUUCAUGCAAGGAUUUCUUCUUGUAUUAAUUCAAUUACUCCUGCAAGAGUUUUCCGGGGAUUCUUUCACAAAUUCCUCCAAGAAAUUCUGUAGGAAAUCCUCCAGAGGAGGCAUUGAGUGUUUUGCUAGAUUAUUUUUAGAAAUUCCUCUAAUAAGCCUAUUAAAGGAUUCAUAAAUUCCUACAAUGAAUACUUAAGAAACUCAAAUAAAAAAUAUAAGAAUUCUUUCAAUUCUCACAGAAAUUCCCCCAAGAAAUUCUAAUGGAAUUUCUUCAUACAUUUUUAGGAAAUUGUUUGUGAUCUCUUCGGGUAAUCAUCUUAAUUUUUUGGGAAUUUUAUUAGUAAUUCUCUUGAGAUUUUUCUCGGUCGUUCCGUUGUAAAUUCUUUGUUUUUUUUUUAAUUUGCAAAAGUGUAUCUCCUAGAAAAGUAAUAACAAACAAGCUUUUAAAAGUUGUCACUUAAAUUUACAAACGAAUCGACUAAUUAAAUUUCAAAGUGCCUAUCGAAUGAAUUUCAACAUUGAACUAUUGAAAGAAUUACAAAUGUAAUUGUGAGGUAUAUUUGCAAAGGGAACUUUCAAAGAAAUUGCUAAAAUCCCGUGAUAAAUUUCCAAAGCAGCUGGCCAAAGGGUUUAAAAAAGUGAUGUUAAAGAUAUUUUCACAAAUAAUAAUCUAACUCAACUUCGAAUAUUAUCGUCGAGAAAUUUCCAAAAGAGUUAUCGAAGAUUUCGAAGGAAAUGCCGAAAUAGUUUUCAAAAACAUUUGCAUAGAAAACCCCAAGAAUAAUUUUAUAUGAAUUUUCGGAUUAAAUCCAUUCAAAGCAUUUCCCAAUAAUUAGCCAAAAAAAACUCCGCCAAAAGAUAUUCGAAUUUUUUUUCAGGUAACUCACAGAAAACUUGCCAAAAAAAAAAAUACCAAAAAAAAAAAUGCCAGGCGAGUUACCCAAUCAAUUCCCGUAGGGAUUGGCAUACAAGUUUCCAGAAAAGUGUUGAAUUUAUUCCGAAAGUAAUUACCAGAGGUUUUCUCAAACGCAUUGUCAAUAAAAAAAAUCAGUGAAAAGUUGCAGACGGAAUUCCCAACGAAAUUUCCGUUGAAAUAAAAAUCUGAAGAAGUUCGUAGAAAUAAAAAUCAGAAGCCCUUUUUGUAGCAUUGCCGAGAAUUAAUUGAAGAAGUUUCCAAAGGAAUUGCCUAACAAUAAAUCAAAAGUAUCGCCAAAGAAAAUUUUCAGAGCAAUUGCCGAAUGGAUUUCUAAAUUAAUAUUUAAAGAUCCUUAAUGAAUUUGUACAAGGGUUUCCGAAUUAGUUACUGAAAAAAAUUAAAAUAAUUCAGAAAUUCUAAUAAAUAAUGUAAAAAUUCUCACAGGAAUUCCUCCAAGAAAUUCUACUGGAAUUCCUCAAUGAAUCAUUUAGAAAUUCUUCCAAGGUUUUUAUUAGAUUUUUUUCUAUUGAUGCCUUAAAGGGUUUCGUUAGCGAUAACACCAGUUUCGUCCGGAUUUCCUUCACGAAACUUCUAAGGAAAGUUUCUAACGAUUUCAUCAAGCAUUUUUUUUCCAAGUGCGGAGCUCCAAGAACUCCUUCUGGGACAUCUUUUACGAUUCAUCUGGGAAAUACUUCAAGGACUUCUUUACAAAUUCCUCCAAGAUUUCCUGCGAAAGUUGCUACAGCGAUUCCUUAGGAAAUUUCUCCUUCAUUUCUGAAGAAAUUUCUUCAGUAUUAUGUAAUCCCAAGAACUCCAUAAAGAGUUUCUUAAAUAUAUCCACUAACGAUUCUUUUGAAGCUACCCCACAUGUUUUCUUCAGCAUUUUUCAUUUUUAGCAUUUUUAGGAAUUCCUUCAAGAUUUUUUUUAUAAACUUCUUCAAGGGUUCAUUUUGCACUGCCUCAUAUGAUUUUGAAGUCCGUUUAAGGAUUUCUUAAGAUUUUUUUCAAGCAUUUCUUUAGUCAUACCUGCAGGGAUUUCCUCAGAAAUUUCUCUAAUAAUUGCUGUAGGAAAUCAUCCAAAGAUUCCUUAGGCAAUGUUUUCAAGUCCUCUUUCACAAUUCGUUCAAUAAUCUUUCAAGAAAUUCCAGUAAAGAUUAAAUCUUUUCUCCAAGGAUUUUUUUCAAGUUACGAAUAAAGAUUCGUUCAUGGAUUUUUCAGUUUUUCUUCAGAUAACCCUACAAGGAUGAACACAUUCAUCCCCAAAGUAUUGCUGCACAAAUUUCCUCAUGGGGUCUUUCAGAAAUUCACCCAAGGCCCCCUGCAGAAAUUCCUCCAAGGAAAUAUGUAGGAAUUAUUUUGAAGACUGUUUUUUUUAUUUGCACCAAAGAAUUUGGAAUUCUUUACUAAUUCUGUAAAAAUACUUCCAGAACAUCAUCAAAUAUACCUCCAAAAUCAACCCAAUGAUUCUUUCCUAAAACAUCUUAGAAUUCAUCCAGGCGAUUUUUCAAGGAUUUUUUUUAGAAAUUUCUACAAAAAAUGCUACAGACCUUUCUACAAGGAUUCCUUCGGGAAUUCAUUCAAAUUUCUUUAGAAAAUCUCCCAAGGAUCCAUUCAGGUAUGGCCAGGCCCGGAUUUAAGGGGGGGGGGGGGCAAGUGCCCCGGGCCCCCCGAUUAGUGGGGGCCCCCAAGAAUCCCGAAGCAUAAUAAUAUUUUUCAACGAAACCAUAUAAAAUGUAUUAAAAUAGGCGUUCAUAUUUUAUACAUAUCCUAUUACAGUCAUAAUUGGAUUCCUUUAUGAUUUCUAGACUCCAUAUUUCUAGUCAUUUAUAUAUCUUUUCACUUGAGAAUAAACCCAAAUAAAAAAUGAUAAUUCUUGUGUGCAGUAUUCAAUAUUUACAUAACACGAUGUUUUCUCUUAACUUUGGUGUACUCGAUUUUCUUUAAAAAGAUUUUGAAAGUUCUUAUCGAAUAGAAACAGUUUUUCGUGGCUUCAAAUUGCUGGACAAAAGUGUUUCUAAACAGAGUGCGUGAAAUUUAAAUUCUGAAAACAACUGCUCAAAACCCAUCUUCAUUCAGUUCAUUGUAAUCAUGGGAAAGAGAUGAUGAAGACGUUUGGGAAUUAGGAACAGAAACCCAGCCUCCAAAAACAUCUCGAAACAAUGGUUUAACAUAUCUAUAUUUUGAGUUUUACCAACAUUUUUGAGAUAUAUUGUUACCGUUGCCUUCAAGAGUUCUAUCUUUGUUCAAUUUGAAUCUUGAAAUACUCAUAGAAUUCUAGAAACCCAAGUAAAGUUGUUCCAUGUUCCAUUAUUUCAGAUCUAGAACUGAAAGCAAAGAUUUAAAACUUGCAUAAAUGUUAUGAAUUU